rnacentral:rRNA from 1 species
GACAGAGGGUGCAACCGUUGUUCGGAAUUACUGGGCGUAAAGCGCGUGUAGGCGGUCUUACAAGUCAGGUGUGAAAGCCCCGGGCUCAACCCGGGAAGUGCACUUGAAACUGCAAGGCUAGAGUACUGGAGAGGUUGGUGGAAUUCUCGGUGUAGAGGUGAAAUUCGUAGAUAUCGAGAGGAACACCGGUGGCGAAGGCGGCCAACUGGACAGAUACUGACGCUGAGACUCGAAAGCGUGGGGAGCAAACAGG